rnacentral:tRNA from 1 species
AGGGCUGUAGCUCAAUUAGUAGAGUGUUUGCCUAGCAUGCACAAAGCCUUGGGUUUGGUCCCCAGCACCCAUA